UACGAAGGGGGGCGAGCGUUUGUUCGGAUUUACUGGGCGUAAAGGGCGCGCAGGCGGCUCAUUUUGUCAGGCGUGAAAGCCCCGGGCUUAACCUGGGAGGUGCGUUUGAUACGGAUGGGCUAGAGUUCGGGAGAGGAGAGUGGAAUUCCCAGUGUAGAGGUGAAAUUCGUAGAUAUUGGGAAGAACACCGGUGGCGAAGGCGGCUCUCUGGACCGAGACUGACGCUGAGGCGCGAAAGCGUGGGGAGCAAACAGG
rnacentral:rRNA from 1 species